UCUAAGCCUAAGCCUAAGCCUAAGCGUAAACCUAAGCCUAAGCCUAAUCCUAACCUA
ensembl:ncRNA Y75B7AL.6 ncRNA